GACGUAGGGCGCGAGCGUUGUCCGGAUUUAUUGGGCGUAAAGAGCUCGUAGGCGGCUUGUCGCGUCGUCCGUGAAAACUUGGGGCUCAACCCCAAGCUUGCGGUCGAUACGGGCAGGCUCGAGUUCGGUAGGGGAGACUGGAAUUCCUGGUGUAGCGGUGAAAUGCGCAGAUAUCGGGAGGAACACCGGUGGCGAAGGCGGCGACCUGGGUAGAUACUGACGCUGAGGUGCGAAAGCGUGGGGAGCAAACAGG
rnacentral:rRNA from 1 species